AUUGAACGCUGGCGGCAGGCUUAACACAUGCAAGUCGAGCGGGGUGAUGGUGCUUGCACUAUCACUUAGCGGCGGACGGGUGAGUAAUGCUUAGGAAUCUGCCUAUUAGUGGGGGACAACAUCUCGAAAGGGAUGCUAAUACCGCAUACGUCCUACGGGAGAAAGCAGGGGAUCACUUGUGACCUUGCGCUAAUAGAUGAGCCUAAGUCGGAUUAGCUAGUUGGUGGGGUAAAGGCCUACCAAGGCGACGAUCUGUAGCGGGUCUGAGAGGAUGAUCCGCCACACUGGGACUGCGACACGGCCCAGACUCCUACGGGGGGCAGCAGUGGGGAAUAUUGGACAAUGGGGGGAACCCUGAUCCAGCCAUGCCGCGUGUGUGAAGAAGGCCUUAUGGUUGUAAAGCACUUUAAGCGAGGAGGAGGCUCUUUUGGUUAAUACCCAAGAUGAGUGGACGUUACUCGCAGAAUAAGCACCGGCUAACUCUGUGCCAGCAGCCGCCGUAA
rnacentral:rRNA from 1 species